AAAGGUAUUAGGUGGUGGAUGCAGCUCUUCGUCUGUGCGUUAUGUGCUGUGGCCAAGACAAAUGUUCGUGGCAGUAACAAGUCUGGAUCUGUCACUAUCUUCAUGCCUUUUAGCUUAGCGCACUUUAUUGGGAAAUCCCAGUUUACAGCUCCCAGGGCUUUGCAAAUAAGGAACAGCCUGUUUUGCAGGAGCAGGUGGUGAUAUCUGCACUGUAAUUCUGAAGUUUUACCUUCCAUCCCAUUCUCCUGUGAUUUUUUUUUUCCCGCUUUGUUGCAUAAGAAAAAGAAAAGAAAAGAAAGGCAGCCAGCCUCCUUGUCCUCAGGGAGCACUUCCUCCCCUCUGCAAUGGGAAUGGUUUUUGGACUGGAAUUGCUGCUAUUUGCAAACUUGUUCAGCCCCUGACUUUUCUCGUUGGGUGAGUGCGGCUCUGCCGCACAGAGCAACGCGCACCUGCUGUCUGCCAGCACUGAGUGACGGCUGCUGAUGGAAUCUACGUGGGAAAGCCCUUCGCCAUCAAAAGGCUCUGGCUGUGUGGACGGAUGCAGAGUACUGCCCAUUGGCUCUGACCUAGCCAGGCACAAGCCAGCUCCGGGCUGGGAGCGCACCGCAGCGCGUGCUGGCUGGCCACUGACCCCGAGCUGUCCCAGCCUGGCUGGAACUGCAUCCCCACGUGCUGAGGAGAGCUGCCCUCCGGAAGGCGUCUCUGCUGCUGCUGUGAGAACACAAUCCUGGUGAGAGAGGCCCAGCUAAGCACAGCUCCUUUCAGAUUUGGCCGCUCAGUGUUUUCCAUUAGCUUGAUACAUGCUGUUUACAUCCUACUGCCGCCAGUGCCAGAGAUAACUGCCUUGGGAGCAGCUCCCUGCAGGUAUUGUUAGCAGCUGCUGGAAACAAAGGCGUUUGUUUUAGCCACGUCACUGUCUAAACAGCCAGAAAUAGAUUGCUUUUUUUAUUGCUAGUACGCCAAUAAAAAUCGGUCCGGUUCUCCUGGCCAAAAGAUGCCUUCUGAGAAUCUUGCGUGCUGUGAGGGCUGGCAUCUGUGCAAACAGCCCAGCAACAGCAAAGAGCGUGAUGCUGAGGCGAAGAAUGCAUGAAGGGCUCUCGUGGCAACCAAGCAUUUCUCCUCCACGUGUCAUCACCACCAGCAUCCGCUGCUUGCACUUGGACAGCAUUGCUUCCAGCCAACACCAUGUGGUUCC
rnacentral:lncRNA from 1 species